UAGGGAAUCUUCGGCAAUGGGGGGAACCCUGACCGAGCAACGCCGCGUGAGUGAAGAAGGUUUUCAGAUCGUAAAGCUCUGUUGUUAAGGAAGAACGAGUGUGAGAAUGGAAAGUUCAUACUGUGACGGUACUUAACCAGAAAGGGACGGCUAACUACGUGCCAGCAGCCGCGGUAAUACGUAGGUCCCGAGCGUUGUCCGGAUUUAUUGGGCGUAAAGCGAGCGCAGGCGGUUAGAUAAGUCUGAAGUUAAAGGCAGUGGCUCAACCAUUGUAGGCUUUGGAAACUGUUUAACUUGAGUGCAGAAGGGGAGAGUGGAAUUCCAUGUGUAGCGGUGAAAUGCGUAGAUAUAUGGAGGAACACCGGUGGCGAAAGCGGCUCUCUGGUCUGUAACUGACGCUGAGGCUCGAAAGCGUGGGGAGCGAACAGG
rnacentral:rRNA from 1 species